GUCCUUAUUGCUCUUUUAUAGUAAAUGAAACAGCUGAAAUGACAAAGUUUAAAGUAGGAGGCUUGUUGCUAUAACUUCCAAUACUCAACUAGGAGUGAAUAAAAUAAAUAUGACCAACGAAUCGGUCCUUACGACUCAUGAAUAACAAAAAACACUGGACCGAUUAGAAACAAAGAUGGACACACAAUGAACUUCUUGGACAUACCCAACACCAAUUAUGACAAACGAGAAAUAGAACCACAAUUCCAAUGAGCAUGAUGUUAAUGUUGCGAUUUCUCCGUCUCCUUGCUUGUUCCUGUGCAUUCGUAAAAAUACCAAGACGCAUUGAAGAAAGCAUUUGCCGAUAUAUGAGGCAUGAGGAAAUGAGCAUAAUGGAAGUUGGUAGAAUAACCAUCACAACGGAAUUCGUUAUGAGUGUAUAAUCUCGAACAUAAUUUUCAUUGGAGCGAAGCUCAGAGAUACCAAUUUCAUAGACUGUAUUUGUCACAUUGAUGCUACUUCCAUUAUCCAGUGUGAUGUUUUCGUAGCUGAUGGAUUUCCUGAUGAGAGCCGCUCAUUUAUAUACAUAUAUCAACAUUAUGAUGAUAGAUAUUUUGAGUAAUUAAUUAUGCAAAUGUUUUUAUUCAAUUAACAGCUUUGUUUAAAAAUAUGAUAUUAUAUUACGUCUACAUAUUCUACAACAUUCAAUUACUUAAAUUACUUGAUAUUCGAUAAUCCUCAAAAAUAUAAAAGUAUUGCAUUUAU
rnacentral:lncRNA from 1 species